UGAUGCAGAUAACGUUUUGGUGUUGCAACGU
rnacentral:piRNA from 1 species